ACGAAAGCAUGCCGGGCUCGGGGGCGGCAUAUGAAAUGAGCGUUCUACCCAACGAAAUUGGCACUAAAACCGAAUGUAAAUGAAUAACCUAGAAACAUCUGGAGUCUUUAGCAGUUUGUUAGAGAGCCAAUUGUUUCGUGGAUGUAGUCGUACCUGUACAGUUUUCGUCGACGCAUCUUCGCUUGCUGGAGACGGCCGCCUCCGUGGACGUGCACACGGCGAGCGCGACGAGGAGGAAGGAAAUUUUCACGUUCAUCUUUUCAUCGUCGCAGCGCAUUGACAAACAAACUCGCGAGUUUCAAGUCACGAAAGCCACAUCAUCCUGACAGCUGUGAAGUAGUAAAGUGCGCCAUCGGAACUGGGUUACACUAUAGGCAACCCAAAAUGCACGCAAGCAGAAUAUAAAUAACAAACCAUAAGUACAGUGUGCGUGUGUCGAGUCCUCACUACGUUUGCUACGCCAAACAAAAUAAAUACUACGUGCUACAGUUAAAGGCAGACAAUAUGGCAUUGAGAUGAUUACACCGCCGUGUCGUCACGAAGUUCGUCGCUUG